GGAGAGGUGGCCGAGUGGUCGAAGGCGCACGCCUGGAAAGUGUGUGGGCUCCAAAAGGGCCCCGCGGGUUCGAAUCCCGCCCUCUCCG
rnacentral:tRNA from 1 species